rnacentral:rRNA from 1 species
AAUAUUGGACAAUGGGUGAGAGCCUGAUCCAGCCAGCCCGCGUGCAGGAAGAAUGNCUNNUGGGUNGNAAACUGCUUGUAUACNNNNNUAAACCACUUUCCGUGUAAGGUGUUGAAGGUACUGUAUGAAUAAGCAUCGGCUAACCUCGGUCCAGCAGCCGCGGUAAUAGGGAGGAUGCAAGCGUUAUCCGGAUUUAUUGGGUUUAAAGGGUCAGUAGGCGGGAAUAAAAGUCAAAGGUGAAAUCCGCAGGCUAAACUUUGGAACGGCUUUUGAAACUGUAUGUCUUGAGUGGGAUUGAAGCAACUGGAAUGUGUGGUGUAGCGGUGAAAUGCAUAGUUAUAAAACAGAACACCGAUGCCGUAGGCAGGUUGCUAAGCCUUUACUGACACUGAGGUGCGAAAGCUUGGGAGCAAAC